rnacentral:rRNA from 1 species
CUCCUACGGGGGGCUGCAGUGGGGAAUCUUCCGCAAUGGACGAAAGUCUGACGGAGCGACGCCGCGUGAGUGACGAAGGCCCUCGGGUCGUAAAGCUCUGUCAUCGGGGACGAACGGCUGGUUCAGGAAAUGGGACCAGAUUGACGGUACCCGAGAAGGAAGCCACGGCUAACUACGUGCCAGCAGCCGCGGUAAUACGUAGGUGGCGAGCGUUGUCCGGAAUUAUUGGGCGUAAAGCGCGCGCAGGUGGGAUCUUAAGUCUGUUCUAAAAGUGCGGAGCUCAACUCCGUGAUGGGAUGGAAACUGGGAUUCUUGAGUACCGGAGAGGAAAGCGGAAUUCCCCGUGUAGCGGUGAAAUGCGUAGAUAUGGGGAGGAACACCAGUGGCGAAGGCGGCUUUCUGGACGGUGUCUGACACUGAGGCGCGAAAGCCAGGGGAGCGAACGGGAUUAGAUACCCGGGUAGUCA